rnacentral:misc_RNA from 1 species
CCCGGGGGGGUGGUGUUGUUGUACAUCAAGGUAUCCUCUUUGUCCAUUUUACGGUUCAUAGAAGACUAAUCCCUUUGGAGUUCGUGGCUAAUCCUCCCAAUAAUGUUUUCUCCAAUGAUCGAACUUGAGUUCUCCCCUUGGGAACACAGUGAGCCUUACCACUGUACCCAACAUUUGUUGGUAAAAGAAUGUCUAAAUUAAUGUUUUGUUUAUAGAAACAAAGAAUUUGAAGACACAACGACGCAGCGUGAAGCUUAACAAGAUAACACACAUACACUCAUGAGUGAAAAUUUGAGAGAUUCUCUGCUGGAAAUUUUAAUAAUUAAAUUCUGUAACUGAAAUACAUAGAAUUAGGGAUAUUUAUAGAGUUUGCUUACUCCUAAACCAGUGUUGUUAAAGGCGAUAAAAGGCACUAGGUGAGAUAAGGCAAGCCUUGGGCGCCUCACCUGGCUGAGCCGAGGCCACUGAAAACAAGCAAGCGCCCGAGACGUUUGAGGCGAAAGGCGUUGGGGCGUUUAGGCGACACCUUUGUAGACUGACAUACACUUUCGCCCUUUUUUUUUUUUUAAUAGCAUAAAAGUAAAACUAAAAAAAACCUUAAGCCACCUUCAUUUUACACCACUAAUAGAGAAGAUAAUGCCAAAUAGAGCAAAGAAACACGACAGACAAGGCAUUUUCUUCCUUACUUUCUCUCUCCUUCUCUCAUCUUCACCUUCUUUCCUCUCUCCCCUACUCUUCUUCUAUAUUUUUUCUCCUCUCACCUGCGCAACCUACUAGCAAGUCCAGCUCCUGCAAUCCAG